rnacentral:rRNA from 1 species
UCGACGGUAACAAGGGUGCUUGCACCGCUGCCGAAGUGGCGAACGGGUGAGUAAUGCGUCGGAAUGUACCGUGUAUGGGGGAUAGCUCGGCGAUGCCGGAUUAAUACCGCAUACGCCCUGAGGGGGAAGCGGGGGAUCGAAGACCUCGCGUUAUACGAGCAGCCGACGUCUGAUUAGCUAGUUGGUGAGGUAAGAGCUCACCAAGGCGACGAUCAGUAGCGGGUCUGAGAGGAUGAUCCGCCACACUGGGACUGAGACACGGCCCAGACUCCUACGGGAGGCAGCAGUGGGGAAUUUUGGACAAUGGGGCAACCCUGAUCCAGCCAUGCCGCGUGUCUGAAGAAGGCCUUCGGGUUGUAAAGGACUUUUGUCAGGAAGAAAUCCCGCUGUUAAUACCCGGCGGGGAUGACAGUACCUGAAGAAUAAGCACCGGCUAACUACGUGCCAGCAGC